GGGACGGAACGGGACGGGAUGGGGGGAAAUAGCCGAGUCACGGCCUAGAGCCCGUGACGGCAGGGCGGGGUAGCUACCGCCCGUCUCGGGCAGGGUACCUCGCGCUCUGUCAGGGACGGUCUCCAAUGCCAGAUGCCUUCCUCCUUUCAGAACCUCUGUUGGCGGACCCUGCGGUUGCCUCAUGCAUCACACCUUACUGCUUCAAGCCGGUUACUUUCCUUACUUCAGGGAAAAAGAACGCAAAUUAAGUUCCCUCUUACGUGGCCGUGCAGGGCAAAAAUUUCGGGGUUUUGCCCGCCAGUCCCAAGUGAAGGCGUAGAGAUGGACUCCGUGCUGGAGAAGGUCCCCCGUAGCUUUGUGUGGUGCAGGACACAAAUCAUCCUUAGCUUUAACCAACACCACAGCCUACUUGGAAUACAAAGGUCUAUGUAAAUAUACCCUCUGACUGCAGCUGCUGUGGAAAAAGAAGAAAUUAUAAGGAAGGUUUACUCAUGUACUAUAAAACUGGGAGAAAAUGAGAGACAGCAGGUGAAAGAAGCAGCAUUUACAGAAGAAGAAAAAGGAAAAUCACUGAAGGAAAUGCGAUUCAGGAAGACACUUGAAAACAUGUCUGCAGUAAAACCAAUUGUACCAAAUGUCUUCAGAUGGGAACAUUUCAAAGAAGAAAAUGCAUAAGAAAAGAAAGAGAGGCAAAGAUUUGUUGAGAUUCUUCAGGCUCCAGUGUCAUGACAGUUUUGAAGAUACAGAUGUACAGAUCAAUAACCUUAAAUGUCAUAAAAAUGGCCCUAACCAAUCUAUUUGUUCUGGGAUUCCAGCCUACUAAUGAACAUAGUGUAAUUUUACAUCAUCCCUUUUGUAAUGAAGAAAAAGGUCUUCUGGAAAGACCCUCAAAGCAAGCAUAAAAUUUGGCUUAAAACAUACAGAGGAAAUAAAAAAUAGAUAUGAACCCAGUUGCACAAUGGCUGGGAGGACUUGCUCUUUCACAACACAAAUAUUCAAUACUAAUGCUCAUCUUGCUUUGUGCUCCUGGGUGACUCAGAAGGAUCCAGACUGUGGUUUUGAGAAGUGCAGUAACUUCAGUGCUGCCAUAAAGAACCCCCUGUUGUCUCACCAGUUUUGUCCUGUACAGACUUGCUGAACAGACACAUCUCAUAGUACAGCAGAGACCAGCCCAGAUACCAUGCACAGACAACUGCUGGGGGAUGAGCUUCACUGGCUCACAGAGUUUCACUGCAGCCUGCUCUCAGCAGCAGCAAAUCAUAAUAUCAGACACUUGCUUAGAAAACACUAAAUCCUCAAAACAUUGCUUGUCAAGUUGGAUCUCUCACCCAGGCUAACUUUCUUCAGUGUGAAAGUCACCAGAGCUAAACUGGUAUUAAACAGAUUCCUCCAAAAUAUCCAAAGCAGUUUCUUUCUGUUGACUUUUAAUAAUAAUUUCUCUGUACCUAUUUCUAGUUGUUCAGUCACAAUAGCUCAGUGCAGGCAAAACUGAACUGAUAUGAAACACAAGCAAAUAUGUCUUCAAGGAAUGUUGUAAUUUUGCAAAGCCAGUACUCUUGACUGACAGAUAACAAUAAAAAAUGAAAAAAAUACUAAUUCUAAACUUUUUGCAAAUGACUUUUGAAACAUCUAUUCCAUGCCAUUGAGUGGCACAACCAGGCAGUACUAUUGUAAGAGUCAACACUUCUAGAAAUCGUUUUCCAUGCUAAAAUUGAGAGUCACUCCAGCACACUCUCUUUAAAGGCAGCAGGUAAAAGAAAGGGCCAAUUAAAAAGGAGGUUUCAGCUUAAAAACACAUUAAAAUAUAAGUGUUUCAAAGAAAACUAUAAAAUAAACAAGACUUCUCACUGUUAGCCUUUAAUUUGGUGGGGCUUGUUAUGAAAUCUAACAUUAUCCAAAUUUUGUGAUGUACAUUCUGCAAUCUCAUCUUAAAGCUCAAGAAAGGUCCUCUUAGCUAUUGCCUUUAAACAGUGUCAAACUUCAAAAAAGGAAGGAGGUGGAAAAGGCAAAAGAAGUGGAGCAAGCAGACAAAUGCUUUGAAACUUCUCAGCUUUCACAAGAACAGCAAUUCUAGGACAACAUCAGCUACUCACAGCAAACAAGAUGAAACCCUUGAGUGAGGGAAAAUUCACCUUCCAUUUAAAAUAAAAAACCAACAUCCUCAAAAAAAAAUCCCUCUCUAGAUUCCAGUCAGAGUAAUCUCCUCCUACCAUGGAACUACCUUUUGAAAUUUACAUCAAGGAUUUUCUGAGUUCUUUGCCUCAUGGCUGUUCUUUAGCUACAGCCCAUGGCUACUAACAGUAAGUUUGGUUAGGUAGAAAUCACAACCUAAACCAGUGUCUAUGAGAGCUACCAAACUACAAUUAGUAAAGUGCUACUGAUCACUGCAUCAUAAAAAUGCUGGGCAGUGCUUGGCAGGAUUCAAGAGCUACAGCAGGGGAAGAAUGAAGAGAAGCAGCAUUGAAAAAGCUGAUCCACAAGAGCAUGAUUAUAAAAGGAAUGAAACAGAAGUGCAGGUACAGGGUGGCCAGGAUGGCUAUUUGCAUUGUUUUCCAUAUUUCUAUACUUUUACCUGGAAGUGUGAAGACAUUUUUUCAUAUCCUGAAAUUUACAUUUGUGGUGGGAAAUAAGAAAAAAUCCAAUGAAAAAAAUAAAAGGCCCCCAAAACCCCCACCCUAAACACCCCAACAACUAGACCAUGUAACAAUCUUCAUAGAAAUCCUAAUAAUUUGCCCUUUGAUGUCAAUGUUUUGUAAUAAAUACCCAUAUUAAA